CAGGAAGGGAAAAGAGAAGAGGGCAAGAGCCCAUCCCCCAAGAAAGGAAGGGCUCUGAUGCAGAGGGAGCAGGAGCUGAGGUGGAGAUGGCCACUGCCUCUCUCACCCUCUGCUCAAGAAAAGCAGGCUUAGCAGAGUGGGACAGAUGCUUUUUAUUGGUCUGGCUGGUGUGCCUAGUGGAAAGCUCAGGCAGAGCUUCCUAUCUUGCCCUGGCUCCCAUCUUUCCUCUCCUGGGAGUUCAUCACACACCCCAAGAGGGAAGAGUGUCCUGGGCAGAGGUGGCAGGCAAAGCCAGGGUAAAAACUCCAGGGCUGGGAAGCAAAUGGGGCUCAGGGUGAUGCAGAAAAUGUGACGUUGCCAGGCCAUCCAAAUAAAGCAUCCAUCAGGGCAGAGGAGAAGCUGUUUCCCUGCAGAGACUCCUCUGCCCCCACCAGGAAUGAGAGGGGCAGGAGGAAGAGCUUCCCAGAGAGGCUCCCUACUGGGCCCUUCGUGCCAUCAGCAUCUCCCGGAUGUUGUUCUCAGCUUCCUUAACGCUCCGCUCCAGAGUCUUGCUCUGUUGCCCAGCCUGGAGUGCAGUGGCACGAUCUCGGUUCACUACAACCUCCACCUCCUGGGUUCAAGAGAUUUUCCUGCCUCAGCCUCCCAAGUAACGGGGAUUACAGGUAAGGAAACUUAAACGAUGGCCAAAGAACAGAAGAGGAAAGACAGUAGUAACUCAGUGACCUGGCUCCCAAAGCAGUGAAUUUCCCUGGAACAACAUGGUUAAGGUUCUUCCAAAGUAUAACUAAAAGAUCACAGGAUCUGGACUGAAGAACAAGAAGUCACAAGCUUAAAGGAAAAAAAAAACUAGAACAGUAUGAAAGAGAACACAGUUGCUUUCCUUUUGCCCCAUGGAACUAGCUUCCAAUUAUUGAGCACUUACUAUGUAACACUGUAUAUGUAUUAUUUGUGAUAUAUAAGUUAUUGGCGGUACCCAAAGAACCAAGAAUACUAUAACUCAGACUGUAGAGCUCAUAAUUGGCUUUAUUUAUUUGAGGCAAAGAAAACUGUGGAAGGAGACACUGAACCCCCAAACAGAAAGUUGAGAAUAAAAAGGAGAGAGUUUCACCCAUAAUCUUUUUCCUAUUCAUUUUAAUAUAUUGUAAACAUAUAGUUUUGUAUCUUAAAAUUCUUAUUGUAUCUUUAUUCUUAAAUUUGUUUCUCAAAUAUUCAAACCACAAAUUUAAAAAUAUUUGGUUUUAAAUGAAUAUUUUUUAAAAACUGAUUUGAACUUAUCUCUAUGAAAGUCCUACUUUGUUAAAUCUGCAUUUUCAAAAGCAAUCAUUUCUUCCUAAUAACUAGCAACUUAGACUUAAAGGUGGUAAGGGACCCACAGCACAGUCUUUACAUUUUAUUUAAAUUUGACAUAGCCUCAGGAAAUAAUCUGUAACUUCUUUGCUAUUAAGCUGGGUUUUUUAAAAAAACACCAUUUGGGAGGCCAAGGCAGGAGGAUUGCUUGAGGCCAGACGUUUGAGACCAGUCUGAGCAACAUAGCAAGGCCUCAUCUCUGAAAAUAAUUUAGCAAUUAGCCAGGUGCGGUGGUGUGUGCCUGUAGUCCCAGCUACUCCGGUGGCUGAGGCAAGAGGGUCACUUGAGUCCAGGAAUUUGAAGUUGCAGUGAGCUAUGAUUGCACCACUGCACUCCAGCCUGAGCAACAGAGGAAGGCCCUGCCUCUAAAGAAUAAAAAUAAAAAUAAACCACUCACAUCGUUCUAAUCUCUAAACAACUAUUGAAGCGCUUCACUCUCCAGCCUCCCACCACUAUCAUACACCCAAAGCCUUAAGUAAAUGAUAAUUCAUUUAAAUUAACAGAAAUCAUUUAAAUGUAUUUCCAAAAUAUAUUUAUGCUUUGUAUGUUUUGUUCAUUUGCUAUUAAUAUAUCCUCCAAGCAAUUUGAAAUGUCAUAAAAUUAAUAAUGCAAGAGUAAGGUAAUUAAUUGCUCAAACACUUUAACAAAGAAAUUCC
rnacentral:lncRNA from 1 species